CACACACACACACAUACACAGCCCCACAUACACACACACAUUGCCCCACACACCCUACACAUUCACUCACUACACCCCCCCCACACACACACUGAACCUUUCACACACACUGCACCACUCACACACACCACUGCUCCUAUGCCCUACUACAGCCUCAUAUCAUAGCAGACCCCAGGUAAGUUGUCAAACUGUUUGACUACUUACUUUAAAAUUAUU